rnacentral:rRNA from 1 species
GACGAACGCUGGCGGCGUGCCUAAUACAUGCAAGUAGAACGCUGAAGGAGGAGCUUGCUCUUCUGGAUGAGUUGCGAACGGGUGAGUAACGCGUAGGUAACCUGCCUGGUAGCGGGGGAUAACUAUUGGAAACGAUAGCUAAUAUCGCAUAAUAGUAGAUGUUGCAUGAUAUUUACUUAAAAGGUGCAAUUGCACCACUACCAGAUGGACCUGCGUUGUAUUAGCUAGUUGGUGGGGUAACGGCUCACCAAGGCGACGAUACAUAGCCGACCUGAGAGGGUGAUCGGCCACACUGGGACUGAGACACGGCCCAGACUCCUACGGGAGGCAGCAGUAGGGAAUCUUCGGCAAUGGACGAAAGUCUGACCGAGCAACGCCGCGUGAGUGAAGAAGGUUUUCGGAUCGUAAAGCUCUGUUGUAAGAGAAGAACGAGUGUGAGAGUGGAAAGUUCACACUGUGACGGUAUCUUACCAGAAAGGGACGGCUAACUACGUG